rnacentral:piRNA from 1 species
UACUUCCCCUUUUGAGAGGUCUUCGGGUU